AUUGAACGCUGGCGGCAUGCUUUACACAUGCCAGUCGAACGGCAGCGCGGGCUUCGGCCUGGCGGCGAGUGGCGAACGGGUGAGUAAUACAUCGGAACGUGCCCAGUAGUGGGGGAUAGCUCGGCGAAAGCCGGAUUAAUACCGCAUACGACCUUAUGUUGAAAGCGGGGGAUCUUCGGACCUCGCGCUAUUGUAGCGGCCGAUGGCAGAUUAGCUAGUUGGUUGGGUAAAGGCCUACCAAGGCGACGAUCUGUAGCUGGUCUGAGAGGACGACCAGCCACACUGGGACUGAGACACGGCCCAGACUCCUACGGGAGGCAGCAGUGGGGAAUUUUGGACAAUGGGCGAAAGCCUGAUCCAGCAAUGCCGCGUGUGUGAUGAAGGCCUUCGGGUUGUAAAGCACUUUUGGCGGGAACGAAAAGGACUGUGCCAAUACCACGGUUCGAUGACGGUACCCGCAGAAUAAGCACCGGCUAACUACGUG
rnacentral:rRNA from 1 species